GGGGCAUUAGCUCAGCCGGGAGAGCGCUUGCAUGGCAUGCAAGAGGUCAGCGGUUCGAACCCGCUAUGCUCCAUCA
rnacentral:tRNA from 1 species